rnacentral:rRNA from 1 species
GAUGAACGCUGGCGGCGUGCCUAAUACAUGCAAGUCGAGCGAACAGAUGAGGAGCUUGCUCCUCUGAUGUUAGCGGCGGACGGGUGAGUAACACGUGGAUAACCUACCUAUAAGACUGGGAUAACUUCGGGAAACCGGAGCUAAUGCCGGAUAAUAUAUUGAACCGCAUGGUUCAAUAGUGAAAGACGGUUUUGCUGUCACUUAUAGAUGGAUCCGCGCCGCAUUAGCUAGUUGAUAAGGUAACGGCUUACCAAGGCAACGAUGCGUAGCCGACCUGAGAGGGUGAUCGGCCACACUGGAACUGAGACACGGUCCAGACUCCUACGGGAGGCAGCAGUAGGGAAUCUUCCGCAAUGGGCGAAAGCCUGACGGAGCAACGCCGCGUGAGUGAUGAAGGUCUUCGGAUCGUAAAACUCUGUUAUUAGGGAAGAACAAAUGUGUAAGUAACUAUGCACGUCUUGACGGUACCUAAUCAGAAAGCCACGGCUAACUACGUG